rnacentral:rRNA from 1 species
UACAGAGGGGGCAAGCGUUGUUCGGAAUUACUGGGCGUAAAGGGCGCGUAGGCGGCCUGUUAAGUCGAACGUGAAAUCCCCGGGCUCAACCCGGGAACUGCGUCCGAUACUGGCAGGCUUGAAUCCGGGAGAGGGAUGCGGAAUUCCAGGUGUAGCGGUGAAAUGCGUAGAUAUCUGGAGGAACACCGGUGGCGAAGGCGGCAUCCUGGACCGGGAUUGACACUGAGGCGCGAAAGCGUGGGGAGCAAACAGG